CACCAGGCGCGAAAACUCUACAAUGCAGGCAACUGCGAUAGGGGGACAUCGAGUGGCAUCCACCUUGGGUGCCUGUCCAACCGUCUAAAAAACGGUUGUUAGCAAGGGCCGGGUAAGACCGGUGCCAGCCGCCGCGGUAAUACCGGCGGCUCGAGUGGUGGCCGAUAUUAUUGAGUCUAAAGGGUCCGUAGCCGGCUUUGCAAGUCCCCUGGGAAAUCCAGCGGCUUAACCGUUGGGCUUUCAUGGGAUACUACAUUGCUUGGGACUGGGAGAGGUAGGAGGUACUCGGGGGGUAGGGGUGAAAUCCUGUAAUCCUCCGGGGACCACCGGUGGCGAAGGCGUCCUACCAGAACAGGUCCGACGGUGAGGGACGAAAGCUAGGGGCACGAACCGGAUUAGAUACCCGGGUAGUCCUAGCCGUAAACGAUGCCCGCUAGGUGUCACGACGGUCGUGAAUCGUCGUGGUGCCGUAGGGAAGCCGCGAAGCGGGCCACUUGGGAAGUACGGCCGCAAGGCUGAAACUUAAAGGAAUUGGCGGGGGAGCAC
rnacentral:rRNA from 1 species